ACGUUAAAAAAAAACAUUUGUGCUGAAAAUUUCAAUUCCUGUUGUUUCACAGAGUUCUGCUGCCCAAGUUAAACAUUUAAAUCAGAUUUGUGAACUGUGCAUCAAACCACCGCUUCGAUAACCAAACUGGCCAGUGUGUGGAUGCAAUACCUCCAUGGAACGGAAAUAUGUAAACGUUGCUUUUAGAAAAAUUUCAGAAAGACAGAGAGCAAAGGGUCUGUUUCCCCAGUGAAUCCCCUGGGCAGGCUGACAAAUUUCCCCUUGGGGAUUAAUAAAGUGUAUUGGCAAAGGCAAUACAUGGAUUGAAAGAGCUGCAACACAAAUUGUUCAUUUGGUGAAAAGGCACAGAAAGCUUAAACUGGUGUUUUUGAUCCAGGGCUGAUGUAAAACCCUUCUUGAAUGGAUCAAUCUUUCAUACAACACUAUGUUCAGACUUAUCCACUUGUAGUUACACAAAUACAAAUGAGUAUUUAUUCUGACACAUGUCUUUGAUAUUUUGCUGAUUUAUUUAAAGCUGUAUUUAGCCUCUUAAACAUACACAUUAAACACACAAACUGCACCACACUCACUUCAGUUAGAUUUGGCCAGAGACUUACCACAGGGCUGUGUGGUGCAAAAUAAUAAAAAUACAUUUUCAGUGAUUAAUACCCUACUCUUCCAGCCUUUGGAAAACUGAAGCCCACACUAAAUCAUGUCCUGAAUCUAUUAAAAAUAAUUGAUUUUGUAGGAUAGACAGAGUAAGAGAGAGAGAGGCAGUGAGAGAGAGAGAAACCGCAGAGAUGGAGACGGAUGAAAAUGAGAAGGGAGAGAAACAGACUAAUAAAGUUGUCGCCUCUCGUCGUUAAUUCGACAAUUUGACACAAAGAAACCCGCCAGAGGUUUUACACAAGCAUGCUUAAACGCACAGACCAGUUUGGUCAGAAGUUUGAAUAAUGCAGCGUAUUUCUGACACUGGGCCUCGGCCGUGUAGCCUCUCUGAUGCAAUGCGUUGUCUUUGAUGAUGACGGAGGCCUGUCGGCUCCGGUCAUGACGGAUGGGAGAAGAACAAGAGGAGGAGCCUUCAAGGCAAAGCUCUUCACUGAACUCAAUAAGCCAAGAAUGGGUGAGUCUUCAAAGAUUGACGGAUCUUCUUUUCAAUCUUAGAAAUUGUGUGUGUGUCAGUGCAUGAUCAAUGAUAUUAUGACAUUAACAUCUCUCUGUGUUCGGAUGUGUAUGUGCUUUGGCUCCAGACAAAACGGUAGAGAACUGUGGGAUUUUGCCAUUUAGAUUGUGUCCGUGGUGUCAAUGUUUGAUAUGAAUUUCUACAGACAUGUAUGAUUGAUCUUUUUGGCGUGCUGAUGGUUUCUAAUCCUGACGCAGUUAUUCGCAGGGUUCGGUAUUUUUCUCUUGACUGUUCGCCAACUAACAUUUUCAGACUCAUCAGUCAGUACUUUGUGAUGUACUUUCAGUAGAGGACCUCAGGAGGUCUGGCUCUCUGCAGGAGGCUCAGGGGUUGAUAGUGAUGAAAUCCAACGAAAAGACAGCAGCAGCUCUGCACUACGGAUACAGUAAAUCCCACAAUCUGCUCCUUGCAAAGCACUCAACUCUUGUUCAAAUCCUGCCCCUCCUAUUUCUCAGAAACUUUUUAAACUGUUUGGUGGAUCUAAUUUUAACAACAAUACCAAAGAGGUUAUGCUUUUGGCCCUAGUCAAAUACAAAGGUAAUUUUAUGAAAUAUUAUAAACCAGUAGGCCUCAAGCGAUGGAACGAUUGAUUAAUUAUUUUUAAUAACGCUCAGCUGUUGAGCCGUUUCACCAUGACAUAAACUAAUUCCAGAAAGGGUGUAAGUUCGAUUCCCUCCUUUUUCUAUCUUACAUUUGUUUUACCCUCAGUGUGGCUAUUAUUAUAGUUCCCAACUCAAGGCAUUAACAUCUUUAAUUAAGAUAACAUAAUCAUUAGCGCGGCCGCCUUAGUCCACGACUCUAUUGUUAUUUGAAUGUCACCUCCUGUAAUUAGCCCCCGGUUUGGGAAUCAGCCAUCAAUUUUGUGGCGAGACUUGCUUUGUAUCCCGCUGUUCAGACGAGAUGUUAUUCACAGAAGGAUUAACUCAUGAGACUUGACUGGUUUAUGUCACUGCAGAUGGAGUGACCUUUCGGCUUUCCUGGUUAUAUUUUCCUGAGAAGACGAUCAUUUGUUGUACCGUAACUGAACAAUGGCCUGUAAAAACAACAAAGAGUGCCAGAAACAAUUUAAGUAACUGCACACCAGCUCCAUUGUUGGAAUCGGCCACAUUCAAGUUGGCAGAACAAAAAAGUGAUACGAAGUGAUUUCAUUAUUCUAACAUUGUGAUUGGUAAUCAGGCAGUUACAUUGGGUGACCAUUGAUCACCCAAUCACAGUGACUGUCCUUUGAGGGAUAAGGCCAUCGUUGUGGACCUAAGAAGCUUGGAUAUAUAGAUUCUCCUUAAUCAUCUGUUCUAUUCAUAAUUAGCUACGGAUGAAAUUCGAAACUGUCGUAUCUCGAAUCUUUCAGCCAUAA
ensembl:lncRNA